rnacentral:rRNA from 1 species
GACGAACGCUGGCGGCGUGCCUAAUACAUGCAAGUCGAGCGGACUGAUUAAGAGCUUGCUCUUAUGACGUUAGCGGCGGACGGGUGAGUAACACGUGGGCAACCUGCCCUGUAGAUCGGGAUAACACCGAGAAAUCGGUGCUAAUACCGGGUAAUAUCUGAGAUCACAUGAUCUUAGGUUAAAAGAUGGCUCCGGCUAUCACUACAGGAUGGGCCCGCGGCGCAUUAGCUAGUUGGUAAGGUAAUGGCUUACCAAGGCGACGAUGCGUAGCCGACCUGAGAGGGUGAUCGGCCACACUGGGACUGAGACACGGCCCAGACUCCUACGGGAGGCAGCAGUAGGGAAUCUUCCGCAAUGGACGAAAGUCUGACGGAGCAACGCCGCGUGAGUGAUGAAGGGUUUCGGCUCGUAAAGCUCUGUUGUUAGGGAAGAAACAAUACCGAACGAACUAGGUCGGUACCUUGACGGUACCUAACCAGAAAGCCACGGCUAACUACGUG